rnacentral:tRNA from 1 species
GGGUCUUAGCUCAGUCGGUAGAGCAGUUUGACUUUUUAAUCAAUUGGUCGCAGGUUCGAAUCCUGCACGACCCACCA